rnacentral:rRNA from 1 species
CCUACGGGUGGCAGCAGUGAGGAAUAUUGGUCAAUGGGCGCGAGCCUGAACCAGCCAAGUCGCGUGAGGGAAGACGGUCCUAUGGAUUGUAAACCUCUUUUGUCGGGGAGCAAAAGACGCCACGCGUGGCGUUCCGAGAGUACCCGAAGAAAAAGCAUCGGCUAACUCCGUGCCAGCAGCCGCGGUAAUACGGAGGAUGCGAGAGUUAUCCGGAUUUAUUGGGUUCAAAGGGUGCGCAGGCGGAAGAUCAAGUCAGCGGUAAAAUUGAGAGGCUCAACCUCUGCGCGCCGUUGAAACUGGUGUUCUUGAGUGAAUGAGAGGUAUGCGGAAUGCGUGGUGUAGCGGUGAAAUGCAUAGAUAUCACGCAGAACUCCGAUUGCGAAGGCAGCAUACCGGCGCUCAACUGACGCUCAUGCACGAAAGUGUGGGUAUCGAACAGGAUUAGAUACCCUGGUAGUC